GUGGCUCUUGGCUUCCACCCAGCCCUGAUGCCAUCCUCGGAGACUGAACUAUCUGCAGGGAAACAUCUGGGGCCAGAGCAGAGGAGUGAGACAGCACAGAGCACCCAAUCUUCAAGCUUCAAGGCAGCACUGCCGCUCGCUCGGGAACAAGGAAGUCUCUGUCUUUCCCACGUGCCUCUGCCUUGCUAAAUAUAGACCCAUCUCAGUUUUUAUUAUGCUCCCUCUAGCUGAGUCACAGUCUUCGUUUGUUUAAUUCAGAGGCAAUGAGCACCCCGAGCUGCCCUAACCCUGGGAAGCAGGCAGUCCCAGCUGGCCCCCAGCCAGCUGUCCUCCAUGGGAAGUGGCCCAGCCCACCCCGCAGCACUCCUGCAUCCCAGGAGUUUCUGGGCAUCUCCGUAAAGAUUCAACGACCAUGCAGUUUCAGGAGAUCCACUAGCAGAAUUCACUGUGCAUUUAAGAGGAACUGAGCCAGCUGAUUGCUCGAGAGGCCCUGAGGAGCGUGGCCCUCCGUCUCCACUUGAAUGGAAAAGGCUGCAGCAAAACGGCAGCAGAGGGUCCUUGGAUGUCACCAUGCUGCCCUCAGAGCAGAAGCAACAUUGGCUCUCCCCGGAUGGCGGAAUUCUCGGGACCACCCCAGAAGACCAGGAAUGAGCUCAGAAAACCAAGCCAGCAGAUGAGACUGAACACUGGAGUGGAGUUCGUGGGAGGCUCCGGUGUGGGCGCCAAAGCAGAGUUUACUGAAAGCCCUCGCAGCCAGGGAACGCUCUCUCACUGUUUACUCUGAAGGACUUGCAGAGAAACCUUGAGGAUUACUCAGCAGUGUCUAUCGUCUGCUGUCCACGAUGAUGGCGAUGCCAGAGUUACUAUUUGCAGAUCCCAGCUAAUAACAUCAGUGAGAAUCGCACAGCGCCUGUGAAUCAGAAGGAAGAGGUGAUAACAGCGUCUUUAUGACAUGCAGUCACGCGAUAAGAUGCAGACGUAAUGAGAACUCUUUUUCUUCUGGAAAAGAUUAAAGACAUAAAAUCCUGGCUUGGGAAAAAAA